CUACGGGCCGCAGCAGGCGCGGAAACUUUACAAUGCACGCAAGUGUGAUAAGGGAAUCCAAAGUGCUUACGUUUUACGUAGGCUUUUGCCAAGUCUAAACAGCUUGGAGAAUAAGUGGUGGGUAAGACUGGUGCCAGCAGCCGCGGUAACCCCAGCGCCACGAGUGGGAGUCGCUUUUAUUGGGCCUAAAGCGUUCGUAGCCUGUUUAGUAAGUCUUUUGUGAAAUUGUCAGGCUUAACCUGACAGCGUGCAAGAGAUACUACUUUUCUUGGGACCGGGAGGAGUAUGAGGUAUUCCAUGGGGAACGGUAAAAUGUAAUAAUCCAUGGAGGACCACCAGUGGCGAAGGCGUCAUACUAGAACGGAUUCGACGGUGAGGGACGAAGGCCAGGGGAGCAAAACGGAUUAGAUACCCCCGUAGUC
rnacentral:rRNA from 1 species